ensembl:misc_RNA Metazoa_SRP Metazoan signal recognition particle RNA
GCUGGGCAUGGUGACGCGUGCCUGUAAUCCCAGCUACUCAGGAGGCUGAGGCGGGAGAAUUGCUUGAACCCAGGAGGCGGAGUUUGUAGUGAGCCGAGAUCGCGCCAUUACACUCCAGCCUGGGUAACAAGAGCGAAACUCCGUCUCAA